UUUUGUUAAUUUCAUUAUUAGGGGGUUGGCAUUUUUGGUCUGGUGUUUCACUCCUCUUCGGUGUUUGCACAAUUUAGCAGGCUUUACACAUGGCAGACAUGCACUUUAUUUAUAUGUAUGCAAGUCAUCCUUCAUUACAUAAAUACUAACAAAUUAUUUCGUUCCUGUUCAUGCAGUUUUUAAAGUAUUUGCCUCCUUUGUUAUCCAUUUUUUCUCCUGCACAUCUUGUUGUUCUAACUUCUCAGUUUUCAUCCAGGGCUUAAAAUAGAGGAUCUCCUGCUAAGGAAAUACUGAUGCUAACUUUACUAUUGGUAUAUCUGUUGAGGUUUGAAAAAGGAUGCUUUUCAUUUUUUUGUUAAGGCAGAAUUAUCGUGGGGCUAUAAAUCUUUAAAGGCAUAUUUGUCAACAUAUGAUGUAGUGUUAGAACUUUGCUAAGUUCAGCACCCACCAAGAAGAGCUGUAAGUGCUGUUUUGUUGGCCUUUCUGUAAUCUCAGGUACUGGAAUCUGUUGGAUGGCUGAUCAGUGCUGGUGAAUUUGUAGAGUUCUCUGUGUGUUCUGACUUUUGUUUUAAAUAAAUACAGACAGCACUUUUCUUAUUUUCUUACCAUCUGGGGUCUCAUUAAGAUUGUAUUAAGUGCCGCUGAAGAAAGCGGUUACGGGAGGAUAUUAAGGUUUAUAACUCACUAGGAAAGAAGAGGAGAGUGAACAAUACAUGACAGAAGAAGGAAUGAAGCUAAUGACAGCAUGAACAUAUGGCUGUAUAAGUUAGCUACAGCCAUCAUUAAGAGAGAUUGAGCAUGUUCCUGUAUGCUUUGGAGGAUAUGGGUAGCUGGAUAAGUCUUACGCAAAAUCAACUGCUUAAGUGAGUCAGGCUCUGAAGGCAUUGGCCUCUUUGCAUUGACUAUAAAAGAUGCUACAAUGAUUAUUGAUGUGGAAAUAUUUAGUUGAGCCUAUUUGCCUCAAGUUACAUGCGCCAAACUGUGGUUCUUAUAUUGGUAAUCAUCCCAUCUAGUUUUAGGGUGGACUUUGGCUUGUUAAUUGGGUAUCUGAGUUCAGGUGUCUGUAGGGUGAGCUGGGUGUCAUGUUUGACUAUCAAUGGAAGAUGUGUGUGUAGAGUCAGAGCAAUCUGGGGAGCUGCUCAGGUGACAAGAUAUAGGUGUUGACUGUAGAAUGCAUUUAGGAGCUCUCUUGAUACUGUUCACUGACAGUAGUGGUUGCUUGGCUCUCAGCCUCACAUGCUUUCCUGAAGGUGCAUCUGUGUGGAUUUGGGCAUCCAACAGUAGAGUGCAAUCUGGUGUAGGAGCUCUGCUCAGAUUGCCCCACAUAGGUAACUACUGCCCCUUGAGAUGGCAUGUUACCCUGUUUUCUAUUCAGGACAGAUACAAAUCAUCCAAAGGUCCUGAGCUUUUACUGUCCUUUAAUGACACCUUGGUCUCCCCAAGGGCCUCUCAGGUGGGCAGGCACGCCCAAGUGCGGACAAUUGAGUCAAGCCUGUAAUGUGAGUGUAGAAACAAGCAAGAGGACUGCAUGACCUUUUUUUCCCCUUAAAAGAUUUUAUUUAAAUUGAAUAGGCAAUAAAGAUUUCAAAUUAAAAUCACUCUAUGGUUAUCAGUUCAGUUUCUCUCUCUGCAGAAGUCGCAGCAAAUGGCAUAUGUCACCGAGUUAUGUUGACAGUGAGUUGGUCUGAUCCAUAUGUUCUGCUCAUGAAUUUCCUGAGCUCUGUAAAAAGUUUUUGAGAAAUUAUAUGCCAUAAAUAAAACCUAUUAUGGGAGCAAUAUGUUCAAGGAGUGAAUAGACUUGUAUUUAUACUGCAGCAAUUCUUCGAUAAAAUUGCUUUAAUUAAUAAUUCAGUUAAGACUUGAUUUAACACUAGUAUUUCUAAAUAUUUUCUUUUAGCACCUGUACCUUUAUAAGUAAUACAUAAUGAGCAAACAUCAUCCUUUUUACUCUUAAAUAUUUAGAAGUUGAUUUCACUAUAUUUAUUUACUCCUUAGUUUUUCAACCACAUGUGAGACUUGUGUAAGAAUCUAAUAAUUUGGUUUGUGAAGUACAGCAAACUUUCUGUAACCUGACUUCCCCAUGUUUUGUUUUACAGGGCACUCGAUCAGUAUUACACGUGUAUAAAUAUGUACACAUAAUCCAUCCUGAUUUUAUAAGUGAUUCACUAAGUAUGGCAUUCUUCUUUCUGGUACUAAACUUUCAAACUUUGUACUUGUAAGUUGAAUGCUGUUUUCCCCAUUUUAGCCAUAUGCCUUGCGAGGGCAUUUUCAAGGUGUUUUGAAAUCUAGUUGUGCCUCUUCUGCUUGGCUCUGAAUCAAUGGUUAACACUGAAGUACUUGAGAACUAUUAAAUGAGUAGUCAGAAAACAUUUAUAGUGUACCAGAGUGUGAUUUCCGAAAUGGCUUAUUGCUAGAAUUCACUUAGUGCAUGGUGCAUUAGCCAGAAAUGAAACCAGUUUAGUUGUUACAGCUCUUUAGACACCAGGGUGCACAUGGAAAUGAAAAGCAAUAAAAACUGAUUUUUGACUGCAAAGUCAGCAUAUCUGAAUAAGUUCAUGCACAGAGAAGAGCUGUGAGCCAAAAAAAAAUUUCCAGUCUUAUUUUUGAGUUGUAACUAAUUCUGAUUUUCUUACUAAGAUUUUUAAUCCUGCCCUCAUUUAUUCCUGCUCCUGUUAAGUUUUCUUACUGCAUUACGUCCUGAUUUUGAUAAAAGUUUUCAUUUGUAUUUUGAAAUAUCCCAGCAUUAGGGUAUCUCAUAACAAGGCUAAAAGCCUUGUGAGAGACUUCUGCCAAAGCAGUCCAGAGCAGUGAAAUAGUUUAACAGCUGUUUGGUCUUUCAGGCCAGAAAAUCACUUGAAUGGUGGUGUUUUCUUUUGACUUUGCUGUGCUCCCCAGCCUGUUUCUUUUCUGGUGAAAAUGACUGUUUUGAGUAUUUAAUGGUGGAAGUUAAGAAUUCAUUUUGGCAUAAAUCCUUAAGGUUUAUUAUAAGCACAGAGGUGGUCCUCCAGCAGGUGGUUCUUCUGUGAGCCACUCUGAGAACUUGGGCAAGCUUCUCAGCAUUCCUCUGGUCUACCACUAAGUAGGUAAAGCUUUUAUAAUGUUUAUAAUGAACUAGGCUUAUUACAAACUCUGUUUCUGUGGAUUAAGGAUGCUAGCUUUAAGGAGGAUGAAAGUUUAAUGUAACCUCUUGUGAUAGGAUCUUUGCUUGGAAUCGUGCCUGUUUUCCAUGAGCAGUUACAGUGUUGAGGUAACAUUUAUUUGCUGUUUGUUUCAGUUGUUUUAUCUCUUUAGGCUGGACUGGAUCGUAUGUUUCUUCUUACUCUUUGUCAGUUACUUUGGUUUGAAACCUUUCUGGUUUGCUAUGCUUACAGCAGUUCUCUACAUAUUGUGUAGGGUCAACUAGCUCGCUGUUUGGAUUUUAGUCUUGCUGUUUAUUUUAUUUUUUUAGGUUAAUUGAAGUGAACAGGGCCACCUGACAGUCUUAGUGGUGUGGUAGAGCCUCUUCUGUGUUUUCUUAGCAGUAGUUGAAGAUGUUGGGAUAUGCAUUAAUUCAGUAAGCAGAGAGAUGUGACAUGUAAACUUCUUAGGUGAUGCAGAUGGGUAUAACCCCUCUGAAAGUGAUGAGAUGGUGACUGACACCCUGGCUGAAGAUACCGUGCCUAACUUCGCUUCUGAAAAAGCUCUGAAGCAGGCAGGUGGAUAAACUGAGGACUUAAGAGGCUUAGCAAGGAGUCAGUCUGUAGGAGCUCAGCUUUUACGCAGGGCCUCAAAGUGUAACUCAUCCAAUUCAGCCUUCCAGAUAGGAAGCUCUUCUUUAUUGGGGAGUAUGAAAUAUGGGCUAGAUUCAGAAUUUGGCUUAGAUGAGUUCUUAUUCAGAAAUACUAUUUCAGGUGUUUAAGAACAGUAGUCAGCUGAAGUCUGUAGGUUUUGCAGUUAGCUGUAGUAGUUCAUAGUUUAAAGAGGUAAACUCUGUUUUCUUUCUUAAAUUAUUAUUGUGUUCAGGAUGGAUGUUGUUAUGUCGUCCGUGGAUGACAAGCUUUGUUGUGAAACAGCUCCAUUACAGUUUCUCUCCUUUGCUUGAGAUUCUACAAAACAAAGAUUCUCAUUAGUGGAGUUUUAUUUCUUGUGGUAGAUCCGAGUGUCACAUACUAGUUAAGGUUGAUAUCCAAACAUACAACAUACCCAGAAGAAAAACCAUGAGGUGGCCAAAAAAAAUUAUUUCUUUUGAUAGCACUGUGUUCUUUUUACCUAUUAAAAAAGAAAUUUGCUAGGUUACAGCUGGUAGGGCCCCAGGCAGAAGAUUUUAUCUGGAUGUGUAACUUGUGGUUUAUGCAGGAAGAGGCAGUGUAGUCUCCCCUUAUCCUAAUUCUCUUCCACUUUCCACGGGUCCAUAGUGAAAUAAUGAGUCUUUAAUAUUUGGAAUAUACUUCAGCUAUUAAAAACCACUGUCAUAGGGAAUUUUUAUGCUGUUUAUUAACACCAGAAACAAACAGAAAAUACUGUGGGGGGAAAAAAAUGAACAAAAGUUUUUAUCUUACAUGCUUGAGGUGUAUCCAUUGCUGAAACAAGGGCAAGGUGGAUUUUUGGUUAAUGGGGUUUUUUCCUAAGGUGGCUUUUUUAGUUUUAGUUUUAUUUGCUGUCCAUUGAUGGAUCAGAUAUGUAUGUUGUGAUACUUAACUGGAUUAAUAAAAUUUCAUAUAGCUUUCUUGCUCAUAUAUAAUGCAGAUCAGUUCUAUGUAAAAUGUUUUUGAAGCAGGAAGUAAUAAUGUGCAGAAACUUAGAGACGAUUGUUGUUUCCAUCAUAAAUAAAAUGUCUAAAGCUCUAGAAAGAAUGAAAAAAGUGGCAUGAAAGGUUUGGUUCCUUUUUGUGUAUGUUUCUGAUAAUAAAAAAAUUAUAAGCAACUAUAGCUUUUAUCCACAUCUUAUCACCUUUUGAGGAAUGUGGCAUUUUGGAGGUGAGGCUGUUUAGGCAUCUUCUGCUGCAGUGCAAGCUGAGUGCUUGGAGUGCACCUAUGCAUGCGCAGCAGUUACUUUGUAGUAGAUUUCAUUUAUUUGAAGUAAUUUCUUGUAACAGCUGCAUAAUUUCAAGCACUUCCUAGAGGUUUUGCAAAUGCUGGUAUCUCUGGAUCUUGCAGCACAGCUGCUGAGAAUUUGUGUAUUUCAGUUUGGAAAAACUCAGGUUUGAUACUCGACUUGCAUUUCAAACAGAAUAUUUCUCUCCAUCACUGUAACAUUGCUACUAUGCAAAUACACUUGAAGAUGGAGUGUUUGGUUUAAAACCCUUCUGGCAACAAAUGUGUAUAUGAUCAGACACUUAACUUUUGAUUAACUUCAGAGAGAUAUCUUACCUUUUUACUACAGCUCUUCAGUAUGAUUUCUACUUUUUAUUCAAUUACAAUAUACAUACUAUUUAAGAGUUUAAUUUCAUAUUUGGGGAUUGAUUGUUGUGCAGCUCAUAAUUAUUUGCUUAAAAUAGAGUUCUGGUUAUCAUUUUACUUGCAAGGGGAAGCUGAAUUGUGAAGUGUCUGUAAAGGUAGAGAGGUGGUGUUAGAUCAGUUGAAGACAUCCAUCCCAUUUGAGAGUGUGGUUUUUUUUAAUCCAUGCUGACUACUGAGCUGGGAUUAUCAUCUCAUCAUGAGUGGUUAAACAGCCAGAAACACUGUUAAAAUUCAUGUGAGGAUUUCAGUAGGUUUAUUCUUAUUUAAAAUAAUUUAUACUUAAAAUAUAAGUUCAAAGCCUGUAAUGCAGUGUGUGUCUAAAAGCAACAGAAAUAGCUUUGAUGCUGCUUUAUGCUAAAAGUACAAGCACAUGUGGUGUUACCUAGAGGAGUACUAAUCCUUGGGUUGGCUUCUGAAGUGUGCAACUACUUUCCUUUAUAGAAAUUAAAAAGAAACCUAGGUUUUAAUAAUUCACUUGAGAGCAUUUGUAAGCCUGUCCUCUGGAGAUAUUUUUUCUAUUAAAAUGAGGAUCUUUUCAAAACUGGACUGUUCUGGAUGCUGUCAUUUCAUUAUUGCUUCUGAUAGUCUAAAGUCAUAGUCUUAUGGUCACUUACUUUUGUUAGUCCCCAAAUUAGUGUUACAGCUUUUAUCUUUCAUGUUGUCUUUCUUUCACAGUGGAUUUUUUUUCAUGUCUCCAGAAGAGAGCUGGGAGUAACAUUUCAGAAGGCAGACAGAGAAACCUUGCUCCUUAUCCUAGAGGAACCCCCUAAGUGUGGAGUUAGAGUGAAAGGGCAGAGGCACCCUUCAUCUUCGUUCAUUUUGUCAAUAGCAGUUGAGCUCUUCUUGAAAUAUAUUAAAUGUUUUUUAAAAAUAAAAUCUUUUAUACUGUGA